CAGGUUUACCUGUGUGACUGCGUACCUUUUGUAUAAUGGGUCAGCGACUUAUAUUCUGUAGCAAGGUUAACCGAAUAGGGGAGCCGCAGGGAAACCGAGUCUUAAUUGGGCGUUAAGUUGCAGGGUAUAGACCCGAAACCCGGUGAUCUAGCCAUGGGCAGGUUGAAGGUUGGGUAACACUAACUGGAGGACCGAACCGACUAAUGUUGAAAAAUUAGCGGAUGACCUGUGGCUGGGGGUGAAAGGCCAAUCAAACCGGGAGAUAGCUGGUUCUCCCCGAAAGCUAUUUAGGUAGCGCCUCGUGAAUUCAUCUCCGGGGGUAGAGCACUGUUUCGGCUAGGGGGCCAUCCCGGCUUACCAACCCGAUGCAAACUGCGAAUACCGGAGAAUGUUAUCACGGGAGACACACGGCGGGUGCUAACGUCCGUCGUGAAGAGGGAAACAACCCAGACCGCCAGCUAAGGUCCCAAAGUCAUGGUUAAGUGGGAAACGAUGUGGGAAGGCCCAGACAGCCAGGAUGUUGGCUUAGAAGCAGCCAUCAUUUAAAGAAAGCGUAAUAGCUCACUGGUCGAGUCGGCCUGCGCGGAAGAUGUAACGGGGCUAAACCAUGCACCGAAGCUGCGGCAGCGACGCUGAUGCGUUGUUGGGUAGGGGAGCGUUCUGUAAGCCUGUGAAGGUGUGUCGUGAGGCAUGCUGGAGGUAUCAGAAGUGCGAAUGCUGACAUAAGUAACGAUAAAGCGGGUGAAAAGCCCGCUCGCCGGAAGACCAAGGGUUCCUGUCCAACGUUAAUCGGGGCAGGGUGAGUCGACCCCUAAGGCGAGGCCGAAAGGCGUAGUCGAUGGGAAACGGGUUAAUAUUCCCGUACUUGGUGUUACUGCGAAGGGGGGACGGAGAAGGCUAUGUUGGCCGGGCGACGGUUGUCCCGGUUUAAGCGUGUAGGUGUGUGUUCCAGGUAAAUCCGGUUCACUUUAACACUGAGGCGUGAUGACGAGGCACUACGGUGCUGAAGCAACAAAUGCCCUGCUUCCAGGAAAAGCCUCUAAGCAUCAGGUAACAUCAAAUCGUACCCCAAACCGACACAGGUGGUCAGGUAGAGAAUACCAAGGCGCUUGAGAGAACUCGGGUGAAGGAACUAGGCAAAAUGGUGCCGUAACUUCGGGAGAAGGCACGCUGACAC
rnacentral:rRNA from 1 species